UUUGUGAGCUAAAGCUGCCUAUUUAAUGCUUAGGAACAUCUGCCAUUUCAGUAGAAUUUCCUGCUGCUUUCCGCGGCCAUCAGCCUUUCCCUAUGUCUGCUUGCACAGCGUUGAACUGUGGGGCAAUUUUAAACUCUCUGGCAGUGAUAGGGUUAAACAGGGAGAUUAUCGUUACAUGAUCUGAAUUCAUGAAUAAGCAGUUUGCAUCAGUCACACUUCUGAAUACAUUGUUAUUAGCUACAUUGGUUUGAUCGUAGGGGUGGAGGCAUGGUAACGUUGCUAUGAUGAGUGCUUACUUUGAGUUGCUAAUACUGAGGCAUCUUGGAAUGGAGAGCCAUUAGUGCAAUAGUUGUACUUAAAAGAGAGGCACAAUACACUGCUGUGAAAGUGUAUUCCCAAUUUCUUCUAUUUUUGCAUCAUUGCCACACAUGAAUGUCUCAGAUUAUCAAACGAAUUUUAAUAUUAGACAAAGAUAAUCCAAAUAAACAGAAAAUGUAGUUUUAAAAUGAUUGCAUGUCCCUUGGUUACUAAGUAAAUCAAUUAACCAAACUGAAUUGUAAAUUGAGUUCAAUUUCAUUAGACACACCACGGCAAGAUUAUUACAA